UGUAGAUGAGCGGAAAGUCGACGGAAAUGCUGUGACCACUGAUAAGGGACACGCAGCGCUCAGCAACUAAGCGGUGGUUAAUGAAAACUCGCAAGGAAUCAAGGAGCGACACAGUCGGUAACUGGAAGGCACACCGCUGCACCAGAAGAGCGUUGCUGACAAAUCGUCGUCCACUUGGCUGUGAGGAGACCUCGGGAUUGUACAUGAUACGGCUCAUCCCAUUGCGGACUGCACCACUGUACUCAAUGGCGGUUCCUUUACCUUCGUCAUUAGAAUCGUAGAAGCGAUUAUUCAGUAUUCUAACAACAGCUGCCAAUCGAAUGUCUUUCAUCGUGUACUGAGGAACUCAAUGAUCUGAUCCAUUGCAGUUACCAGCUGGCGUCAAGAUCGUGCUUCAUGAGACAAGUCGAGCAGUUCAUCUCGUUCACAUAGCGCUUGUUGCCGUCGACACACCUCAACAUCCACCAGCAUGGGUGUACUUCAGUCUACGAGUUUCAGCACGAUAGAACUUAAUACUUAUAUUACCUGAUCAAAAGUGUCCGGACACCAUAUGUAAGACGGAAUUAACCACUAGAUGCCACGAGAGGCCGACCCGCCGAUAUAAAAGGAAGCGGAAGCGGUAACAGGAAAAUUCAUCGGUCAACAGAGCUCAGUGGCUUUAAGAGUACGAUAGCUAUUCGAUGUCACUUGAGUAACUAAUCGAUCAGGGACAUCUCAGUCAGUCUGAAAAUGACAAAUUCGACUGACGGUGAUCUGAGUGUGAAGUAGAAAACGGGAAAGAACAGCCGCAGCUAAACUAAGACGAAGCAGAGCUCACGUACUGACGUAGAGGGACCGUUGAGCAUAAUUGAGAGUGGUUGUAUUACAGGUGCGGCCAAGAAGUCGGCCCGCGAGCUAGCACUCAGUCCAAGUGCACAUGUCCCCCACCGACGCGCCACGCUGUGUAAGCGCGUGGGGGAAGAAAAGGGGGAAACUGUGAACGCGCCUCGUUUAAAUGGCAGUGCAGUCGCAUUACUCAACAAAGAUCACAAACUAAAUAAAUUUUCAGUAUUAUUUAAUUAGUUUUGGCGUGACGAAGACAUAAUAUAGUUUUUAUCCGGUACAGACUGUCAGCAUACAGAGACAUGCAGAAAAAUUUCAGAUUUUUGCACUCAGGUUGCCAAGUAAUCGUCACUUAUUUAGUUUCAUAAUCGAAAAAAAGGCUUUCACACACAUAUAUUGAUCACAAAGAUGUAGCACUUCUGCAGCCACAUUAUGGAGACGUGGAAACUCUACCCAAGGAAAACAAUGUAGACGCCCUGGGCAGUUUUAACGCAAAAUGAUUUGUCUGUAAAAUGGGAACUACGUUGCAGAUCAGUUAGUUACUUCUGCAUAUGCACAUGGGCACUUUCAACUGAGAUGACAGACGGUAUCGGAAACAGAUAUAAGAUUGACAGUGUACUCAAAACGUUUAGGAAAUUAUCCUGGUAACUCUAAACGUCAUAAUGAAUUCUUGAAACGUCGCGUUUUCUCUAAUGACAGUGAGCUUAGGGAACUGUGCUGUGUCAGAAUGUGUCCCUUCUAUAAGGCUAUUUUAUUUUUAAAUUCCUCCCUAUCAAAUCACAUUCGCGCCAAGUAUUUCUUCUCGUGCUCCUUGACUGAAAAUUUAGCACGAAGUGCUUCUCGAUGUCCAGAACCAUGAAUCCCGGCUGUCGAUCACUGUAAUUGUUUGCUCUUUCAUUGUCAACUAAAUCUUUCAAUUCUUUCUGUGGGGUCUUGCCCACUCGUCUCGUAAAGGGCGCCUAAGGGACAACAAUUCAAGCAAAGUCGCAUUAAUAGUUGUUAUUACAAAUGAGAAGAAUGACAAUACUUAACUACUAUUUACAAUGGUGUCGCAAGCGAUGGGCGAUAUGCAACAUAAAUCAGAGUCCUUUGCUAUAUACAAUGUUCAUGCAAGUUUUACGCACAGUUUGUGGAUAAAUAAUAACUGCUAUCGUAGCGUUCUCUGCCAGGCCUGUCCGUAUAUUGUCCCGAUACUGAGCACUAACGCCCGGCCGAGGUUGGCAGGAGCCGCGCUUACAUUCACUUCGGCUAGAUGCCGCUCCUAUCGUGGUGCGGUCCUAAUCAGCGCACCAUUGCCCGAAGUCGUUUCACCGCCUUCUCUUCUCUUGCGUUUUUCAUCUUCGUUCCGGCGUUUGUGGUUAAGCAAGAACACUUCCUGUGUGGUUCCGUAAUAUCGUUUUCUAGCAAAUUUGCAGUAGCCGCCGCUUAUACUGAGAAUUCUCGUCCCUCUCUUCUUCAUUUCCAUUCAUUUUUAAAGACUUGUAACUAUAGAUCGCUGGAUUGCCCUUUUUUGUGCUAACGGCCACUGGACCUGUGAACAUCCUUCAUACCACGAACAAAUAGUAGAGGGUAAACAGCGCUGACACCACGAUUCUGCCGGAAUGAAGAGAGUUGCGGUGACCGAAAACUGUCACAAUGCAGUACUAAAUGAAAUGUUGCGCUGUAGCGAGUAAUUCCGUGAAGGGCCGAACAAUGGCGAGACAGGCCGGCCUUGUUACGCACGCGACCCGCACACACAGCACGCGCGAAACUUGGCACGCCGUGGUCGAUCCUCUUGUAAACAGUUGCGUGGAAUCACUGGAAGAAACCACUCUUGAGUUCCGAAGGGCUACCAGCACAGUAAUAUCUACAUCUACAUGAUUACUCUGCAAUUCACACUUAAGUGCCUGGCAGAGGGUUCA
rnacentral:lncRNA from 1 species